AACUCUGACAAAAAGUUGUUGCUGCUGUAAUCAAAAUGCUAGUAAAGGAAAUGGAUACCCUACGAUACCACGUUCACACUUUUUUGUUCACUACUAUGUUUGAAAUUACUGGUCCGACUAACAACUAAUUCGAAUUAGCAUUGUGAAACUUCACUAAGGGGUAAAGCGCUCCCUACAAGAAGUUAUCCAUUUCGGAGCUCAUGUCCAGGACCUCUGAUUAAAGAUUAAGGGAUCUCAACCAUCUCUCCAAACCCCUGUCCCUUUCAACUUUUCACACUCUGUAAGGUAUCCCUUACUUUGUCACUAAGUAAUAUAUACUUGGUCUUUUAGAGCUGCCCCUUUCGUAUCAAGAAUAAUAUGAAACCAACAAUAGCAGAUGAAGAAAUAUGAGAUUACCUCAAUUUCGGAAGGUUAAUAUGGGCACAAGUUACUAGAAUUAACUUUGAGAAUUCAAAUUAUUAUUACUCACUCAGGAUUACCUAUUUGGGAAGUCAAACAACUCUUUCUUUGAUUACGGUUUUCUUCAACUCUUUUUAUAUAUUGUGAAUUACUCCCUCCAUCCCAAUUUAUGUGGCACCCUUUGACUAGGCACGGAGUUUAAGAAAGUAAAGAAGGCUUUUGAAACUUAUGGACCAAAACAAGCCUUAAAUAUUUGUGUGGUUGUAAAUCAUCUCAUAAAGUUAAAUUGUAUUAUACAAAUGUGACAUGUUUUUGGGACAGACUAAAAAGGAAAUUGUAUCACAUAAAUUGGGAUAGAGGGAGUAUUAAUUAUGCAGACUUGUAAUACUUUAUAUGUAGUUUUUAACUCUGUAACCAUUCAAUUACCAGAUAUGCCAACUCUUUUGUUAAAAGUAAAAAUGUGACCCUUACAUAAUAAAGGAACCUUGCCAAAUGUGAGAGUUCCAUAAAUUUAUCUACAACCAUUUGAAAACUUUAUCUGCUUUCUGUUAAACUUUCUACUAGCUGCAUAUUAAUUCUAGUACAAUAUCUGUUUCUUGAUUCUGAUCUGAUAUCAGGGACAAAUGUUGAUCAUAAUUCACAUAUUCACUUCUAUAUUCUCUCUCUCUCUCUCUCUAUAUAUAUAUAUAUAUAUGUAUAUGUAGUAACAAUUGAGGGCACCUGAAGUUAGAAGUUGAAAAGUAUCUAUAUGAUCGUAGAAAUGAAUCAAAGCAGGCUAUGUCCGAUGCCACAUGACUUUUUUCUUCUUAAUCAAUUGCACAAGGAAUGGAACGUUAAGGCUCUAAACUCGUUUAGAAACAUUCGAGUGCACAUUUGAACAAGGGGUCAAUUGGUAGCUGGUUAGAGCUAUGCAAGUAAUGUUGCAAACAAUUUAGUGUAAGAAUAGAAGCAGUGAGAUAGGCGACAAUUGAAUGUCUGAACAGUUUGCCGUGUCAGAUCCGUUACAUACCUUUUGGAUCUUGUUGUUGAAUGAAAGAUUUGAGUAAAUUACUGUUUCAGAAAAGAAAAGUAAGAUCUUAAAGGUAGCAUGCCAGCUCAGAGUGUUGGUAAACUUAUCGGAUCCUUUACAUGCUUAGAUAAUUGCCUAUCCUUUUGUCUCAAGUACCAUUACUUUAUCGCUAAAAGAAAGAUAAAGCAUUUAACUUUCAUAGAUUUGCCGCCUUUGAUCAGUCAUUUUGAAUCAGCACAUGUGUCUAAACUUUUUCACAGUUGUUCUUUGGUGACCAGAGGAUGACUAAGGAUAACUACCAGGGCACUGAUCAUUUUUUCUCCUAUAUAUAUGCAACCUCUGCGCAAACUAUUAAUCCAUCACAAACAGCAGCUCUGAGUCGUCUAAAGUUCAAUUGCAGUUUUAACAAAAGCUGAAGAAGUUAUAAUGAUGCCAAACCAAAGAGUUCCAAUGAGAUCACAGAGAAGACUUUUAACUGCUUCUAUAAACCCGUCGCAGACCCUUGAAAAUUCAAAAAUCACAAGACAUACACUUGAAAAUCUUACGAAUGGCUUUCAAGAGGAUGGUAAGUACUUGAUUCAACCCCAAACUUACAUAUAGAAAAUUACUUUUCCCCAUUGUUUUCCCUUAAUUUGUGUAAUUUCAAGACAUUGUCUUUCCUGGCUAAUUGUCUUGCUAUUAAUUUUGUCCUGCAAAAAGAUUGUGGCCUCAACUGAUAGAAAGUGUGAAGGACAGGUUAAGCCUGCAGAGUGGAAAGAUUCUUAAAGUGAAAAGAAUAAAGAAUGUUUUUCAGAAAAAUUUCAGUGUCAGACACGAAGAAAAACUUGUCAAGGCAGCUCACUGUAAUUUACAAACAACAUCAGAUCUCGAUUGCGCUGAGAAAAAUAAAGAAAGCCACAGAGAGUAAGAGUUUGAAGAAACCAUCGAACGAGUACAUUCAAGUAGUAACUGAGGAUAAUUUUGAGUUCUGGUUCUUGGGAUUCUUGAAUCACAAGAGCAUCUUGAAAUGUCUUCAGGAGGCGACUUGUGAGACUCAAUGCCACUAUAUUCUAUGACAAAACUGGAGUUUGUUCAGAAUGUGGCACACCUGAUCUCACUAUAGAGGAAUGAGCUAGUACAUAUUAAUUGUUAGACUAAAAAAUAUCGACAUGUAAUGUGAUAUAUUCUGCUAAAUGUGCCAUUAGUCUAUGUUCUUUUUCUUGUCCAUUAAGAGCUAGUGGUUAUAUUGAGAUUAGUUUUUUAGUUUCAAA